ACUGAACGCUGGCGGAAUGCUUUACACAUGCAAGUCGAACGGCAGCACGGACUUCGGUCUGGUGGCGAGUGGCGAACGGGUGAGUAACAUAUCGGAACGUAUCCAAUAAUGGGGGAUAACGAGUCGAAAGAUUCGCUAAUACCGCAUACGCCCUACGGGGGAAAGCUGGGGACCUUCGGGCCUGGCGUUAAUGGAGCGGCCGAUAUCUGAUUAGCUAGUUGGUGAGGUAAAGGCUCACCAAGGCGACGAUCAGUAGCUGGUAUGAGAGGACGACCAGCCACACUGGAACUGAGACACGGUCCAGACUCCUACGGGAGGCAGCAGUGGGGAAUUUUGGACAAUGGGCGCAAGCCUGAUCCAGCCAUUCCGCGUGAGUGAAGAAGGCCUUCGGGUUGUAAAGCUCUUUCGCAAGGGAAGAAAACUUAGCCACUAACAUUGGUUGAGGUUGACGGUACCUUGAUAAGAAGCACCGGCUAACUACGUGCCAGCCGCCGCGGUAA
rnacentral:rRNA from 1 species